rnacentral:rRNA from 1 species
GAUGAGCCCGCGUUCAUAGCUAGUUGGUAAGGUAACGGCUUACCAAGGCGACGAUCAGUAGCCGACCUGAGAGGGUGAUCGGCCACACUGGAACUGAGACACGGUCCAGACUCCUACGGGAGGCAGCAGUGGGGAAUAUUGCACAAUGGGCGAAAGCCUGAUGCAGCAACGCCGCGUGAGCGAUGAAGGCCUUCGGGUUGUAAAGCUCUUUUCUUGGGGAAGAAUAAAUGACGGUACCCAAGGAAUCAGCCCCGGCUAACUACGUGCCAGCAGCCGCGGUAAUACGUAGGGGGCAAGCGUUAUCCGGAAUCACUGGGCGUAAAGGGUGCGUAGGUGGCUAAGCAAGUCAGAGGUGAAAGGCAACGGCUCAACCGUUGUAAGCCUUUGAAACUGUUUAGCUUGAGUGCAGGAGAGGAAAGUGGAAUUCCUAGUGUAGCGGUGAAAUGCGUAGAUAUUAGGAGGAACACCAGUGGCGAAGGCGACUUUCUGGACUGUAACUGACACUGAGGCACGAAAGCGUGGGGAGCGAACAGGAUUAGAUACCCUGGUAGUCCACGCCGUAAACGAUGAACACUAGAUGCC